rnacentral:rRNA from 1 species
AACGCGAAGAACCUUACCAGGUCUUGACAUACCAGUGCCAUUCUUAGAGAUAAGAAGUUACUUCGGUACACUGGAUACAGGUGGUGCAUGGUUGUCGUCAGCUCGUGUCGUGAGAUGUUGGGUUAAGUCCCGCAACGAGCGCAACCCCUAUUGUUAGUUGCCAUCAUUAAGUUGGGCACUCUAGCGAGACUGCCGGUAAUAAACCGGAGGAAGGUGGGGAUGACGUCAAAUCAUCAUGCCCCUUAUGACCUGGGCUACACACGUGCUACAAUGGUCGGUACAGAGGGUUGCCAAGCCGCGAGGUGGAGCUAAUCCCACAAAACCGAUCGUAGUCCGGAUCGCAGUCUGCAACUCGACUGCGUGAAGUCGGAAUCGCUAGUAAUCGCGAAUCAGAAUGUCGCGGUGAAUACGUUCCCGGGUCUUGUACACACCG